AUCAAACCCAACUCUCUCAACAAUAAAAGAAUUUUACUGACCAAAGCAAGUUAAUGAUUACAAGAUACCAUGUGAAGAGCCACACAGGACACAGAGCAACUGUAUGCCAAUAAAAUGGACAACCUGGAAGAAAUGGACAAAUUCUUAGAAAAGCACAACCUUGCGAGACUGAAGCAGGAAGAAAUAGAAAAUAUAAACAGACCAAUCACAAGCACUGAAAUUGAGACUGUGAUUAAAAAUCUUCCAACAAACAAAAGCCCAGGACCUGAUGGCUUCACAGGAGAAUCCUUUUCUUUAUUCAAAAGGCCCAUACCUUUUUUAUGGACUAAUGAUCUCAAAGGGAAACAAGACAAGGGAACAGAAAACAACAGUUUUUUU